rnacentral:rRNA from 1 species
GAUCAACGCUGGCGGCGUGCCUAAUACAUGCAAGUCGAGCGAACAGACGAGGAGCUUGCUCCUCUGACGUUAGCGGCGGACGGGUGAGUAACACGUGGAUAACCUACCUAUAAGACUGGGAUAACUUCGGGAAACCGGAGCUAAUACCGGAUAAUAUAUUGACCCGCAUGGUUCAAUAGUGAAAGACGGUUUUGCUGUCACUUAUAGAUGGAUCCGCGCCGCAUUAGCUAGUUGGUAAGGUAACGGCUUACCACGGCAACGAUGCGUAGCCGACCUGGGAGGGUGAUCGGCCACACUAGAACUGAGACACGGUCCAGACGCCUACGGGAGGCAGCAGUAGGGAAUCUUCCGCAAUGGGCGAAAGCUUGACGGAGCAACGCCGCGUGAGUGAUGAAGGUCUUCGGAGCGUAAAACUCUGUUAUUAGGGAAGAACAAAUGUGUAAGUAACUAGGCACGUCUUGACGGUACCUAAUCAGAAAUCCACGGCUAACUACGUG